CGCGGCCUAUCAGCUUGUUGGUGGGGUAAUGGCCUACCAAGGCGACGACGGGUAGCCGGCCUGAGAGGGCGACCGGCCACACUGGGACUGAGACACGGCCCAGACUCCUACGGGAGGCAGCAGUGGGGAAUAUUGCACAAUGGGCGAAAGCCUGAUGCAGCGACGCCGCGUGAGGGAUGACGGCCCUCGGGUUGUAAACCUCUUUCAGCAGGGAAGAAGCUUUUGUGACGGUACCUGCAGAAGAAGCACCGGCUAACUACGUGCCAGCAGCCGCGGUAAUACGUAGGGUGCGAGCGUUGUCCGGAAUUAUUGGGCGUAAAGAGCUUGUAGGCGGUUUGUCGCGUCUGCUGUGAAAAUUCAGGGCUUAACCCUGGACGUGCAGUGGGUACGGGCAGACUAGAGUAUGGUAGGGGAGACUGGAAUUCCUGGUGUAGCGGUGGAAUGCGCAGAUAUCAGGAGGAACACCGAUGGCGAAGGCAGGUCUCUGGGCCAUUACUGACGCUGAGAAGCGAAAGCAUGGGGAGCGAACAGGAUUAGAUACCCUGGUAGUCCAUGCCGUAAACGUUGGGCGCUAGGCGUGGGUCUCAUUCCACGAGAUCCGUGUCGCAGCUAACGCAUUAAGCGCCCCGCCUGGGGAGUACGG
rnacentral:rRNA from 1 species